GGCCCGUUGGUCAAGAGGUUAAGACACGGCCCUUUCACGGCUGUAACAGCGGUUCGAUUCCGCUACGGGUCACCA
rnacentral:tRNA from 1 species